rnacentral:misc_RNA from 1 species
GUGCAACAAAUGGCAGGAGACAGGUACAUGCCCAUACGGUGACCACUGCCAGUUUGCUCAUGGCGUUGAAGAGCUCCGCCCAGUUAUCCGCCACCCUCGCUACAAGACUGAGGUUUGCAGAAUGGUCCUUGCUGGUGAUAUCUGUCCUUAUGGCCACCGCUGCCAUUUCCGCCAUGUCCUUACUGAGCAGGAAAGGUUUAUGGGCCACCUGAAGCCGAGGGCAAUCAAGCUUGAGAGGUAAAUAAGAAUGUUGAUCAGAGAACUGCGAAUCUGCGACUGGGGCUAAUGUAGAGAGAUGUUUAUAAUGCUCAAAGAGAAUGGUAAACAAUAAUACCCUUUAAUCUAGUAUAUAAAGGAUGAAUAUGAACGGUGGACAUAUACAUAAUUAGCAUAUAUAAUGACGUAAAAGGAAAGAAAAAAAGAAUUGGAAGAUUUUAUGGACCUGAAUGUGGAGAUUGGAUACGGAUAUUUUAGAGAGAGAUUAUUAGCUCUUCUGAUUAUUUUGUGUUCCACUUUUAUUUCAUUUAUACAUUGGCAUAUGAGACAUCAUGAAUACUUAUAUCGGUAAUGUUUGGUGGUUUGGAUCGAAACCAAGCAACCAAAAGAAACUCUCUGUAAUGAUGUCUUUUGAUUUGGCAAAGCAAGCAAUUUCUGAUUGGAGUUAUAAUUCAAAGCUACUCCUCUCACAUAUGCUCAUUGCCUCAUCAUAUUCUUCUCGAGUAGUGCCAGUGGAAAUUUUUAUUUGUUUAAUGUACUAUAUAAAUAUUAAUUUACUGUUUCAUGACUUCUAUUAAUGAUACAUAUUUCUGUUUUUACUAAUUCUGGUUUUAAUUGAGUUUUGUUGUGAGAAUAUUGG